CAUGGGAUUCUAUUUGGGUCUAGAAUCGGAUUUGAUCCUAGGGACUUAAGAUCUUGGUUUGUCAGGUCUUAAGCGGCUAAUCUAUAGAUUGGAUUGAGAUUAAGUCCAAUAGAUGUGUGCAUGUGAGACAUGGAUGUACAAGGGCUCAAGGAGUGCAUCACAUUGGAUUAGCCAUAGGAGUUUUUUGGAUUGGAUCACAUUGAUCCAGUAUAUAUAUACAUUGUAUUGUGUAAGUGAUUGAUUGAAUCUGAAUAGAAGCCAUUUUUCUCUCUACUUUUCUCGCUCUCCUUCUCUUCUCUGAGCCCUAGGGCUUUCUAGGAUUUGAUAGAUCUACUGUCAAUGAUUUUCUUGGAUCCUUGUUGUUGGUUCUGCGAUCAAGACACAGCAAGAAAAGAUUCCAACAUUUGGUAUCAGAACCUUGGAGUUAGAUCUGGUGGAGAAAAGAUCAAAGUUGCAUCUGGAUUGUGGUAAGGUGCUGAACAGAUUUGCCCUAAAACACUGUUUACAUUAUUUUGUGUGUGUUUUUUGAAAUCUGUGUGGGAUGGCAUCGAGUACCAUUAAGGCAGACUUUGAGAAGUUCGAUGGCAAAGGCAACUUUAGCCAUUGACAGCAAAGGAUGAAAGAUCUAUUGGUACAAAAUAUGAUCUACAAGAUCUUGAUUCAGAAAAGACUAGAAAAGAUUUCUGUUAAAGAUUAGGAGGAG
rnacentral:lncRNA from 1 species